rnacentral:rRNA from 1 species
GUGAGUAACACGUAGGUAAUCUGCCGUAGAGUGGGGGAUAACCCAUGGAAACAUGGACUAAUACCGCAUAUACUCUUGACGCUAAAGCGUAGUAGAGGAAAGGAGCAAUCCGCUUUACGAUGAGCCUGCGGCCUAUUAGCCUGUUGGUGAGAUAAAAGCCCACCAAAGCUACGAUAGGUAGCCGACCUGAGAGGGUGACCGGCCACAUUGGGACUGAGAUACGGCCCAGACUCCUACGGGAGGCAGCAGCUGAGAAUCUUCCACAAUGGACGAAAGUCUGAUGGAGCGACAUCGUGUGAGGGAUGAAGGCCUUCGGGUUGUAAACCUUGGAAAUUAUCGAAGAAUGAGUGACAGUAGAUAAUGUAAGCCUCGGCUAACUACGUGCCAGCAGCCGCGGUAAUACGUAGGAGGCAAACGUUGCUCGGAUUUACUGGGCGUAAAGGGUGAGUAGGCGGAACUAUAAGUCUAAGGUGAAAUAUCGAAGCUCAACUUCGGAGACGCCUCGGAUACUGUGGUU